ACGGUCCUAAGGUAGCGAAAUUCCUUGUCGGGUAAGUUCCGACCCGCACGAAAGGUGUAACGAUUUGGGCACUGUCUCAACGAGGGACCCGGUGAAAUUGAAGUACCUGUGAAGAUGCAGGUUACCCGCGACUGGACAGAAAGACCCCAUGGAGCUUUACUGUAACCUGAGAUUGGAUUCCGGUAAGAGAUGUACAGGAUAGUUGGGAGGCUUAGAUGCAAGUACGCCAGUAUUUGUGGAGCCAUUGGUGGGAUACCAACCUUGUUUUAUUGGAAUUCUAACGAGAAGCGUAACGAGCUUGCGGACAGUCUCAGGCGGGCAGUUUGACUGGGGCGGUCGCCUCCGAAAGAGUAACGGAGGCGCCCAAAGGUUCCCUCAGCGCGGACGGAAACCGCGCGAAGAGUGCAAAGGCAGAAGGGAGCUUGACUGCGAGACGGACAGGUCGAGCAGGGACGAAAGUCGGGCUUAGUGAUCCGGUGGUAGAGAGUGGAAUUGCCAUCGCUCAACGGAUAAAAGCUACCCUGGGGAUAACAGGCUUAUCUCUCCCAAGAGUCCAUAUCGACGGGGAGGUUUGGCACCUCGAUGUCGGCUCAUCACAUCCUGGGGCUGAAGUAGGUCCCAAGGGUUGGGCUGUUCGCCCAUUAAAGUGGUACGCGAGCUGGGUUCAGAACGUCGUGAGACAGUUCGGUCCCUAUCCAUCGCGGGCGUAAGAAACUUGAAAGGGGCUGCUCCUAGUACGAGAGGACCGGAGUGGACCGACCAAUGGUGUACCAGUCAUGGCGCCAGCCGUGCAGCUGGGUAGCUACGUCGGGGACGGAUAAACGCUGAAAGCAUCUAAGCGUGAAACCAGCCUAGAGAUGAGGUUUCUCAUUGUUUUAACAAGUAAGGUCCCACAAAGACGAUGUGGUUGAUAGGCCGGGAGUGGAAGUACAGCGAUGUACGGAGCGGACCGGUACUAAUAGACCGAGGACUUGACUUA
rnacentral:rRNA from 1 species